AACUAGUACAGCUGACUUCCAAUCAGUUAGAUCUAGACUUACCUAGAAGAAAGUA
rnacentral:tRNA from 1 species